CAAAGAGUUAACAAUCUCAGCCAAUCAGAGCGCAGGUCUGCAACGCUGCAUUCGAGCUAGACACACACGCUGGGUGACACUGCAGAGAGAGAGGAGCUGCUGCUGAAUGCUUUUAGAUUUCUGUGUGAGAGACCCUGCUCACUCGAACCUGCCGAGUGACAGAGAAAUUCCCGAACUGGUCAGGUUUUCUGAGACGGUUUAAAAAUUGAUGGCGAGCCAACCCAGAAGAGACCUCUAGAUCCCUGGAUUGAAGAUCCCUGAGUCGAGGAGCAAAA